rnacentral:rRNA from 1 species
AUUGAACGCUGGCGGCAGGCCUAACACAUGCAAGUCGAGCGGUAACACAGGGAGCUUGCUCCUGGGUGACGAGCGGCGGACGGGUGAGUAAUGUCUGGGAAACUGCCCGAUGGAGGGGGAUAACUACUGGAAACGGUAGCUAAUACCGCAUAACGUCGCAAGACCAAAGAGGGGGACCUUCGGGCCUCUUGCCAUCGGAUGUGCCCAGAUGGGAUUAGCUAGUAGGUGGGGUAACGGCUCACCUAGGCGACGAUCCCUAGCUGGUCUGAGAGGAUGACCAGCCACACUGGAACUGAGACACGGUCCAGACUCCUACGGGAGGCAGCAGUGGGGAAUAUUGCACAAUGGGCGCAAGCCUGAUGCAGCCAUGCCGCGUGUAUGAAGAAGGCCUUCGGGUUGUAAAGUACUUUCAGCGAGGAGGAAGGCAUUGUGGUUAAUAACCACAGUGAUUGACGUUACUCGCAGAAGAAGCACCGGCUAACUCCGUGCCAGCAACCGCGGUAAUACGGAGGGUGCAAGCGUUAAUCGGAAUUACUGGGCGUAAAGCGCACGCAGGCGGUCUGUCAAGUCGGAUGUGAAAUCCCCGGGCUCAACCUGGGAACUGCAUUCGAAACUGGCAGGCUAGAGUCUUGUAGAGGGGGGUAGAAUUCCAGGUGUAGCGGUGAAAUGCGUAGAGAUCUGGAGGAAUACCGGUGGCGAAGGCGGCCCCCUGGACAAAGACUGACGCUCAGGUGCGAAAGCGUGGGGAGCAAACAGGAUUAGAUACCCUGGUAGUCCACGCCGUAAACGAUGUCGACUUGGAGGUUGUGCCCUUGAGGCGUGGCUUCCGGAGCUAACGCGUUAAGUCGACCGCCUGGGGAGUACGGCCGCAAGGUUAAAACUCAAAUGAAUUGACGGGGGCCCGCACAAGCGGUGGAGCAUGUGGUUUAAUUCGAUGCAACGCGAAGAACCUUACCUACUCUUGACAUCCACGGAAUUUGCUAGAGAUAGCUUAGUGCCUUCGGGAACCGUGAGACAGGUGCUGCAUGGCUGUCGUCAGCUCGUGUUGUGAAAUGUUGGGUUAAGUCCCGCAACGAGCGCAACCCUUAUCCUUUGUUGCCAGCGGUUCGGCCGGGAACUCAAAGGAGACUGCCAGUGAUAAACUGGAGGAAGGUGGGGAUGACGUCAAGUCAUCAUGGCCCUUACGAGUAGGGCUACACACGUGCUACAAUGGCAUAUACAAAGAGAAGCGACCUCGCGAGAGCAAGCGGACCUCAUAAAGUAUGUCGUAGUCCGGAUUGGAGUCUGCAACUCGACUCCAUGAAGUCGGAAUCGCUAGUAAUCGUAGAUCAGAAUGCUACGGUGAAUACGUUCCCGGGCCU